rnacentral:piRNA from 1 species
UGGCAGCAAAACUCGGGUCAGCCUUGUAU